ensembl:lncRNA
AGGAAGAUGUUUUCCUAUUCUUGAUUGAUAUAGGAUUUCAGCUGCUAAAGAGUUCAGUGUCUCCUAUGUCGUGUUUUUAGUUUCAUAAUGCGCCAAAUGUUUUCAAUGGGUGACAGGUCUGGACUGCAGGCAGACCAGUUAAUUAAGCACCCGGACACUUUUACUACUGAGCCAUGCUGUUGUAAUAUGUACAGAAUGUGGUGUCGCAUUGUCUUGCUGAAAUAAGCAAGGUCUUCUUUUCCACUUCACGUCAAUCCAUUUUAAAUGAGCUUGGGCCCAAUGAAGGCGACAGUGUUUCUGGAUCUUGUUUAUAUAUGCUUUUUUUCUUUGCAUUUUUUUUAUGUUGCUGUCUUUUGUUUGCAUUGCAAAUGUUGUUGUGUUGUGCACCCGUGGGCCACCGUAGUUCACCACUCUGUGAAAGACUGCGCAGGCAAAUAGUGCAACAACUUAAGAAUAACGUUUCUCAACCUAAAAUUGCAAAGAGUUUGGGGAUCUCAUCAUCUACAACACAAAACAUCAUUAAAAGAGAAAUCUCUGUACACGAAAACCAAUAUUGGAUGGCUGUGAUCUUUGGGCCCUAAAGUGUCAUUAAAAACAGACAUAAUUCUGUAGUGGACAACACUGCAUGGGCUCAGAAACACAUCCAAAAUCCAUUGUCUGUGAGCAUACUGUAGUAUGUCGCUGCAUCCACAAAUGCAAAUUAGAACUUUUUAAAAACAUGCAAAGAAAAAAACAUAUAUAAACAAGAUCCAGAAACACCGUCGCGUUCUCUGGGCCCAAGCUCAUUUAAGAUGGACUGAGGUGAUGUGGAAAACUACAACAGAACACAACCGCAUCAGCCCAAAACCCACCAACAUUUGCAGAAAUGCAGCAUUUCAAAUUACUCACAAUUGAAGUGCUCCAGACCACUAGGUGACCACUAGGUGACCGAACCUCCCUGCCCCUACAUAGGAAGACGAACAAAGCGAGAAAUGUUCGCUAACAACGAUGGACUGUGCAGUUUCUGAUCCAAUCUAGACGCAUGAUUACUGUGCAGGCCAGAAUUCCCCAGCCCUGGAUAUGGCCUUAAUAUUGGUGAAUUAGGAGCAAGCAGGAGAAAAUCAGGAGCUUCAAACACAGCUGGAAAACCUGACAACACAACGCCACUUUUGUGUACAAUGGUUUCCUGUAGAUUUGCGACCUACACCCUCCUGGUGGCAUACUGGGAUCUGAUUGAGGUCAGCAGACACCAAGUUAAGAGUCACCAGUGCAAACACGUCCAAGAUAAGUGUUCCUUGACCAAAAACAGUAAGUGACAACUCCAUUGAAUACAUUACUUUAUAUGGAAUAUUUAUCAUAAUGUUAUUUUUCCUUCUGUUUAAACCUAUUAUUCUUCACUUUAUUUGUGUUAUGGACCUAACCCAAUGCAAGGGGAAUAUAUUGUACUAAAACGUUUUUCUUUUUGUUUAGUCACUCCCACCAAUCAAUGAGUUUUUCUUGUUGGGUCUGAAACAGAAGGAUUUGGGCUUUUUUUUUUACAUCCACCAGUCAACAGUGAUCCAGAUAAUCAUGUCUUGUGACAACUUCUUCUACUUCCUGCUUGGCUCAGUAUGGAUAUGGAUCCCCAAAGAUAACAUCAAAGCCAACAUGCCACCCAAGUUCAAUGAUCUAAUUAUCUAGACACCAAAGUUGUGAUCAACUGCACUGAACUUUGCUGCCAGACACCAUCUUCCCUACUCCUGCAAAUUGAGGUGUUUUCUUCACUCUGUACCUUCAAGGGCAUGUUAGGAACGUCACCACACGGAGUUGUCACUUUUGUGUCCUCUUUGUAUGCUGGUUCUGUGAGUGACAAGGAGAUUGUUAUGCCGCCAGGAAUUCUUUCCUUACUUAUCCCUGAUCAUGGCCUUUAUGGUGGAUGAGGGCUACCUUGUGGAUGAUCUUGUUCCAUGCGGGAUCUGUCGGCCAGCUUUUCUGCAGAGGCGCCACAGAUGCCAGCGCAUGAGGUUAGGGAGGCCCUAUCCAGUGCCAGGCAAAGGGUGCAUGUCAAAACAAUGAUUCAGAGAGUAAAGGAGCACAAGCUGUUUGACAGUCAUCCCUCUGAUUGUCUUAGGAAGCAUCAACUAACUAUUUGCAGUCAUGCUUGCUGGUCAAUGAAAAUGGACCUUUGGUCAGAGCAUGGGCCAAGCUGCUAUAAACGUACAUUUGUUUUUGCUUUGGGUCACUCUGACCAUGAAGAUUUUUUUUUUUAAAGAUAACCAACUGCAUUAAGUAAUAGUUACAUAUAAUGAAAUGUUUAUUGAAUAUUCCCAGAUUGUGUGCCUACCACAAAUCAGGUAAACGUCACAAAUGUCAAAAUAUGAAAUGUAUAAUUUGUGGAUUAAAUGUAUUAAUAACUUGUAACACUUCAAUGCAUAUUAGUUGUUUGUGUUGAUCUUGUAUUGGCCUUAAUAAGGAAAUUUGUUUUAGUAAGCACCGAAGAGAAAAAAUGAAAGAUUCAAC